rnacentral:rRNA from 1 species
UGGGUAAUCUACCUCUGGGUGGGGAAUAACUUUGGGAAACCGAAGCUAAUACCGCAUAAGACCGAAAGGUGAAAGGAGCAAUUCGCCGAGAGAGGAGCCCGCGGCUGAUUAGCUAGUUGGUAGGGUAAAGGCCUACCAAGGCGACGAUCGGUAGCCGGCCUGAGAGGGCACACGGCCACACUGGCACUGAAACACGGGCCAGACUCCUACGGGAGCAG